rnacentral:misc_RNA from 1 species
ACGUGCGUGCGCAUACACACCACCCCUCACCUCGCUGCUGCUGCUGCUGUGACAGCUCUACGGACCCUGUCCAGUCGCUGCUCCCCCGCCACUCGCCUCUGUCCCCCGCAGGAGGCUGCGUACGACGUGUCGGCCACCCCGCACUGCCCGAGAAGCUGAGCUGGCGCUCACGCCCGAGCAAUCCCGCCCACGAAUCUGCUGCCGCCCCGCACUGCUCUUGACGCUGGCUGCGAAUGGCGCUGUGCGUGCGUCGGCUGGUGCUGGCGGCGACCCUCGCCGCUGUGGUGGCGCUGCUGCUGUGCACGAGCAGUGCGCCGGUGGCGCGUGCCGUUAAGGAGGAUAACUUCACUGCUGAGCAGCGGAAGAACACGAGAGAUGUGCUGCAGGCGUUUGGGCGUGUGAUCCCUGAGCUUGGGAAGAAGUGGAUAGGCGACGACUUCUGCUCGUGGGACUUCAUCAAAUGCACGCGCGUGAGCGCUCGCGUUCAGGCCAAAGGUGCGACGUAUGCCGGCUCGCUGCCGGAGAUGCCUGCGGGCGUCGACUACACGAACGUCGUGAUCAGGGACCUCAACUUGUUCAAUAUGCCAGAACUGGUCGGGACGCUGCCGGACAGCUGGAGCAGGCUGCAGGGACUGACCUCCCUUACGUUGUCGGGCUGCGGCGUGAGCGGGACGCUGCCCGCGUCGUGGCGCUCGAUGAAGUCGUUGACGUCGUUGGCGAUCGAAAAGUGUGGAAGUGUCACCGGCACGCUGCCGCCUGAGUGGGCCGCGAUGCCUCUUUUAAAGACGCUGCUUCUCAGACAGCUGCAGCUGAGGAGUACGCUGCCUAAAGAGUGGGGUGGGAUGACGUCCUUGCUGACGCUGGAGAUAACUGCUGCAGGCAGCAUCACCGGCACGCUGCCUCCUCAGUGGAGCUCGAUGACGUCGCUGUCAACUAUGUUCCUAGAUGAUUUGUCGCUUGGCGGCUCGCUGCCGGCGGCGUGGGGUUCGCUGGUGACACUGAAAAAGCUGGGGAUCCGGGAGUCGCCGUUGACCGGCCCCCUUCCUCAUCACUGGACCUCGAUAAAGGGGCUCAUCUUUCUUGCUCUGCAGGGCACAGGUAUCAACGGCACGCUGCCGCCUCAGUGGAGCUCAAUGGAAUCGCUGGCCACUUUAAAUCUAGAGCGCACUCACGUCUCCGGCAGUCUGCCGCCCACGUGGAGUUCAAUGACGUCGCUAAGCACCCUCAACCUGCGGAGCACAAGUAUCUCCGGCACGUUGCCGCCUGAGUGGAACUCAACGACAUCGCUGGCCAUUUUAAAAUUGAGUCGUACUCAGGUCUCCGGCAGCCUGCCGUCCGAGUGGAGUGGGAUGCCGAAUGCCCAGUCCCUGGAGCUGGACAACUGCGACCUGUCCGGCAGUCUGCCCCCCGAGUGGUCUGCGAUGCCGAGGCUGCGUCUUGUCGCACUGAGCGGCAACCACUUCGCCGGGUGUGUGCCGGACUCGUGGGCCCAGAAGGCCGGUCUCGUUGUGGACAUCGAGGAUAAGCACACGGGCAACAACUGCAUUGCUGGUGCGGAGAGCACAACGACGACAACGACCACCACUCGACCGCCCACCACGACCACCACUAAACCGCCCACCACGACCACCACUCGACCGCCGACCACGACCACCACUAAACCGCCCACCACGACCACCACUAAACCGCCCACCACGACCACCACUCGACCGCCGACCACGACCACCACUCGACCGCCCACCACGACCACCACUAAACCGCCCACCACGACCACCACUCGACCGCCCACCACGACCACCACUAAACCGCCCACCACGACCACCGCUGAACCCCCCACCACCACGACCACAACAACUACUCAGCCGCCAACUGCACCCCCCACCACGACCACUGAGGCACCGUCUGAACCCACGACCACUGCGAGCCCAACAGCCACGCCUACUCCUGCCCCCGAGACGGAGUGCGAGGUGGAUGGGUGUGAGGUGUGCGAGGGGGACUCCGCGGCGAGGUGCGCCAGGUGCGGUGCGGACUACUUCCUGACGGACGAGAGGACGUGCCUGGUGUACUGCGAUGGCGGCGUUGCGGCCGCGUCGAGCGGAGCGGCUGCUGCCGCUGUUGUGUGCAUGGCUGUGCUGCUGAGCGUGCGGCUGGCGGCGUGAGGAUGCCGCUGCUGUCUUCGUGUCGCUCCUCUGCCCUGACUCUCUCUCCCGCCCGCGUGUGUGCCUGUGGGCUGAUGGGGGCGGAGCGCGGGUGUGUGUGGAGCGGGGCAGCCGCUGGAGAGAGGGGGAGGGGCGGUAGCCGAUGUGCAAGGGCCGCGGUGUUUGUGCGGCCAUGUGCGGCGUGCGGCACACGGGCGCUGCGUGCACCGGCUUGGGACCGACAGCCCGCACCCCCUUCCGUCGCCUCCACUUCUCCCUCGCUCCCUCGUUGCAGGUGAGAGGCGCGCACCCGUGGCUGCUGCGGCGCACACGCAAGGCAGCGUGUAUUGUGUCUCGGUGCGACCUCUUCAUCGUGGCCCCGCUCUGCGACACCUUGUUGCCCGGGCACUCCGGCGGCGUGCGCUCUGUCCCCCUCUCCUGUCACGUGUCGUGAUGCGCUGCUGCGCUGAGGAUGCGUGCCACGGCCUGCCAGCACGGCUGCUGCACGAGCCGCAGCAAUGGCGUACAGCAGGGUGUGGGCGUCGGGCGCAGUGCUGGUCUGGUGAGGCGGACCCCUCUUAUCUGUGGUGCCCCUGCUGCCUCCCCUCCCCCUCGGCACGACGCCCUCGCUGCCCUCUCACCCCCGGCUGCUACAGGAGAGACCGACGCCCACGCGCGGACGCAGACACACACCAUCGUGCACCGUUCGCGCUUUCCCCCGCUGUCGCGCCGGCACGGAUGCACGAGGAUGCGGGGGCGUGCGCACGUAUGUGCGUGUGUGCGUGCCGGCUGUUGUCUGUCGCUCUCUCUCUGCGACCAGCACUCGGCACCCGCGCCGAUGGAAUGUGUGCGCGGCGGUGGAGGCUCGCCUUGGGCCGCGGGUGCGGACGUCCGCCACUGGCUGUCUGCGGUGCGGGCUGCUGUGCUGCAGCGCCUCGAGGCCCCCCUCUCCCGCCAGGGCGAGCGAGCGAGCCUCUGCUGCCGUGUGGGCGACGCACGCAUGCACCGUCCGGGCCUCUUCAACGGGCUUCGAUAGCGGUGCUGUGUUUUGGCCGUGUGGGCGGGUGCUGCGGAGGCGCCUGGUGUGGCUGUGCUGGCACGCCUUGCCGCGCCCCUUGCGCCGCUGCCAUCGGCGGCUUCGUCGCUGACGCUGCCGCUCGCACGCGUGCUCGGGUCGUCUGUGCAGCAGCGGUGGUGUGCCGGAGUCGGCGGCACGCCGUCGAACCCUGAUUGGCGCCUCCGCGAGGUGCGACGGGGAAGCUGGGGGGAUGGGGAGGGCGUGGGCGCCCUCGUGCGCGGCAUGCGGGGAUGCGCGUGCGGCGGCGCUCUACCACGCUGAGUAGUGAGGCUCGGUGCACGCGGCGCGAUGGCACGCAGCCUCGCUACCGGGCCACCCCGCUGUGCGUAGGCAGCGGGUGAGCAGGCCCGUGCUCUCCCCUGCACCUUGCCCCUCUCCCCCACCCUCCUCUCUCGCAUGCCGGCGAGGGGGGGUGGCACGUGCGCGUGUGCCGCUGCGCUUGCGAGUGCGUCUGUGCGUGGGCCCUCACCACGUGCUCCGGUCACGCCUUCUCGGCUGGCCACUCGCGGCGCUGAGGGCGGUGUGCCCCUCCGCCGAGCGCCGUCGCACUCUCUUCCGCGCGCCUGCGCGGGCUUCUUCGUGUGCUGUGCUCAGCCGUGCGCUCUCACCUCUUUCCCUUUUCAUUCGCUUGUCUUCCCUCUUCUCCCCCGCACUGCGGUCUCCCCUCCUCUGCCGUGCGGUGCGCAGGCGGGUGACUUGCCGUUGCGUCUCCCCCUUUCGUGGAGCGCUGAGCCGAUCCCCCUUCGGCCUCCCUCCUCCCUCCUCCCUCCUCCCGUGGGUCCUGUCUGUUGUACAUCGUCGGACCGUCUCCUCGUGUUGCCUCUCCGCCCCUUCCGCAAAUCUGCGCUCGCGUGUGCCGCCUCCCGGACUUUAUCCUUACUGUGAUUGUAUUCUCACGGUGCGUCUCCGUGUGUGUGUGUGGGCCACGCACCACUUCUUCCAUGUGUGUCCUUGCUUGCUCUCGUCUGCCGCCCUCCCGCUGCCUCACACAUUCCGUAGAUGUGCGCAUGGUCCUGUGCAGGCGGCAUCGGUGCCCGUCCCUGCCACCCUCUGCUCCCUCACUCUCUUGGCGCAAUUUGGUGGGCGGCGCAUCCAUGUGUAUAUAUAUGUAGAUACGUAUGCGUGUAUAUCAGUGUGUGCCGGCACGUGUGUCGCGCCACGCUCUCUUGCCCGCCUCCCCUGUGCCUGUCACUCGCUCUGGGCGCGCUGGCGGCUGGCGCCGGGUGGUGGCCGCGCGGAAGGUGGGCGGCGGCCCUUCCGUAUUUCUUUCGCUAUUUCUCUGUGUCCUACUCGCGUGAACAAACG